GACGAACGCUGGCGGCGUGCUUAACACAUGCAAGUCGAACGGAAAGGCCCUGCUUUUGUGGGGUGCUCGAGUGGCGAACGGGUGAGUAACACGUGAGUAACCUGCCCUUGACUUUGGGAUAACUUCAGGAAAAUGGGGCUAAUACCGGAUAGGAGCUCCUGCUGCAUGGUGGGGGUUGGAAAGUUUCGGCGGUUGGGGAUGGACUCGCGGCUUAUCAGCUUGUUGGUGGGGUAGUGGCUUACCAAGGCUUUGACGGGUAGCCGGCCUGAGAGGGUGACCGGCCACAUUGGGACUGAGAUACGGCCCAGACUCCUACGGGAGGCAGCAGUGGGGAAUAUUGCACAGUGAGCGGAAGCCUGAUGCAGCAACGCCGCGUGCGGGAUGACGGCCUUCGGGUUGUAAACCGCUUUCGCCUGUGACGAAGCGUGAGUGACGGUAAUGGGUAAAGAAGCACCGGCUAACUACGUG
rnacentral:rRNA from 1 species